AUUGCAAUGUAGUAGUCACUAGUCAGUCCAAAGAAGAAACAAUCUGGAGGAAAAGAGUAGGAAUCUUGGUGGGUGUGGUUGUUGGAAUAUUUGUGCCUUUUAGUGCUUUUGGUUUGAGCUGUAUCAUUUUGUGUAGAAAAUAUCUCCCUCGGGGAGUAUCGGAGCAGCAUUUGCUGUAUUAAUCAGAGCAAGAUCACCCAGUAGCAGUAGGGUUCUCCAAUGAGAUUCUAACAAAUGCGGGUUUCUUUCAUAAGCAGCAAAGGCAAGCAUGCUAGGUCUCCCAGGAUGCCGAUCACAUUUUCAUUAGAGGAGUUGGUGGAUGUUACCAGAAAUUUUGACAGCCUUUUUGGGCUUCGUUCAUACGGGAAGCUCUACAAAGGUAGAUUAGAGAAUGGGAUCCAAGUUGUUAUUAGGCGCCUACGUGUGUCAAACAAAUAUACAAUUUGAAAUCUUAAACUCCGGUUGGAUUUGCUUGCCAAGCUUCGUCACCCGCAUGCCUUUUAGGACACCGCCUUGAUGGUGGUGGAUAUGAUUACAGUGUGAACAAGGUGUGUCUUGUAUCUGAGUAUGUGCCAAAUGGGACAUUUCGUGCUAAACUCUGGUAGAUCUGAAAAGGUUCUCAACUGGCC